AACGUAGGUGGCGAGCGUUAUCCGGAAUUACUGGGCGUAAAGCGUGUGCAGGCGGGCAACCAAGUGGUGUAUGAAAUCUCCCGGCUCAACCGGGAAGGGUUAUGCCAGACUGGUUGUCUUGAGUGCGAGAGAGGAAUGUGGAAUUCCGGGUGUAGUGGUGAAAUGCGUAGAGAUCCGGAGGAACCCCAGAGGCGAAGGCGGCAUUCUGGGACGUGACUGACGCUGAGACGCGAAAGCGUGGGGAGCAAACAGG
rnacentral:rRNA from 1 species